UACGUAGGGCGCAAGCGUUGUCCGGAAUUAUUGGGCGUAAAGAGCUCGUAGGCGGCUUGUCACGUCGGGUGUGAAAGCCCGGGGCUUAACCCCGGGUCUGCAUUCGAUACGGGCUAGCUAGAGUGUGGUAGGGGAGAUCGGAAUUCCUGGUGUAGCGGUGAAAUGCGCAGAUAUCAGGAGGAACACCGGUGGCGAAGGCGGAUCUCUGGGCAGUAACUGACGCUGAGGAGCGAAAGCGUGGGGAGCGAACAGG
rnacentral:rRNA from 1 species